UGGAAAACGGCAGCUUACACAUGCAAGUCGAGGGGUAUUGGUUUUCGGACCAAGAGACCGGCGCACGGGUGCGUAACGCGUAUGCAAUCUACCUUUUACAGAGGGAUAGCCCAGAGAAAUUUGGAUUAAUACCUCAUAGCAUAGCAGCUUCGCAUGAAGCCACUAUUAAAGUCACAACGGUAAAAGAUGAGCAUGCGUCCCAUUAGCUAGUUGGUAAGGUAACGGCUUACCAAGGCUACGAUGGGUAGGGGUCCUGAGAGGGAGAUCCCCCACACUGGUACUGAGACACGGACCAGACUCCUACGGGAGGCAGCAGUGAGGAAUAUUGGACAAUGGGCGCAAGCCUGAUCCAGCCAUGCCGCGUGCAGGAUGACGGUCCUAUGGAUUGUAAACUGCUUUUAUACAGGAAGAAACAGUUCUACGUGUAGAACCUUGACGGUACUGUAAGAAUAAGGAUCGGCUAACUCCGUGCCAGCAGCCGCGGUAAUACGGAGGAUCCAAGCGUUAUCCGGAAUCAUUGGGUUUAAAGGGUCCGUAGGCGGUUUAAUAAGUCAGUGGUGAAAGCCCAUCGCUCAACGGUGGAACGGCCAUUGAUACUGUUAGACUUGAAUUAUUAGGAAGUAACUAGAAUAUGUAGUGUAGCGGUGAAAUGCUUAGAGAUUACAUGGAAUACCAAUUGCGAAGGCAGGUUACUACUAAUGGAUUGACGCUGAUGGACGAAAGCGUGGGUAGCGAACAGGAUUAGAUACCCUGGUAGUCCACGCCGUAAACGAUGGAUACUAGCUGUUGGAAGCAAUUUCAGUGGCUAAGCGAAAGUGAUAAGUAUCCCACCUGGGGAGUACGUUCGCAAGAAUGAAACUCAAAGGAAUUGACGGGGGCCCGCACAAGCGGUGGAGCAUGUGGUUUAAUUCGAUGAUACGCGAGGAACCUUACCAAGGCUUAAAUGUAGUUUGACCGAUUUGGAAACAGAUCUUUCGCAAGACAAAUUACAAGGUGC
rnacentral:rRNA from 1 species